rnacentral:rRNA from 1 species
AGUGAACGCUGGCGGUAGGCCUAACACAUGCAAGUCGAACGGCAGCACAGGAGAGCUUGCUCUCUGGGUGGCGAGUGGCGGACGGGUGAGGAAUACAUCGGAAUCUACUCUGUCGUGGGGGAUAACGUAGGGAAACUUACGCUAAUACCGCAUACGACCUACGGGUGAAAGCAGGGGACCUUCGGGCCUUGCGCGAUUGAAUGAGCAGAUGUCGGAUUAGCUAGUUGGCGGGGUAAAGGCCCACCAAGGCGACGAUCCGUAGCUGGUCUGAGAGGAUGAUCAGCCACACUGGAACUGAGACACGGUCCAGACUCCUACGGGAGGCAGCAGUGGGGAAUAUUGGACAAUGGGCGCAAGCCUGAUCCAGCCAUACCGCGUGGGUGAAGAAGGCCUUCGGGUUGUAAAGCCCUUUUGUUGGGAAAGAAAUCCAGCUGGCUAAUACCCGGUUGGGAUGACGGUACCCAAAGAAUAAGCACCGGCCAACUUCGUGCCAGCCGCCGCGGUAA